UUGUCGUCCCGCGCCUUCCAGCGCCGCCCAAUCAGGUCGCAGAUCGCCGGGCGCCGUUUUGGGAGUACGUUGGCGUGCGGAGCAGCCCGCCCUGCCUCCGGAAGUUACGCGCUCAGUCCCGCCCCCGGAGAAUCCCGGGCGCCGGCCGGGGUUGGGUCUACAGUGCUGGUUACCCUGAGCGAGUGAGCCGCGGUCUCAGCGGCUGUAGUCGUUGUUGACUCCGGCAGGUCGACGGUCCGAUCCCCGGCCUAAGGUCGCCUGGCCGCUCUGUUUCUCGCUUCUGCCGGUUCCUUGAGGUGAACACGCCCGCAGACCUCGAGUGGCCGGCCGAGACGGUGCUGCGCAGCAGAUUCAUUGUCGCGAAUGCCUAGUGGACCUCGCCGUCGAACCAGCAGCCCGCCGGGUUGUGCAAUUCUAGGGUCUAAACUUGAAGUGGGGAGCAGGUGGAUGCAGGAGAACUAAAGUUGCAGCAAGAAGUGAUCACCUCAGUGUCCUUGGUGGAGGAGGACACAGCUGUACCUGAAGCAAGCCUUCCUGACUGUGGGGGUUCCUUGAAGUACGUCAUGGAUGAUGGAGGACCCCAGGGCCAUCCUCACUGUUACAGGAUUUGUCCAAUGCACCCAGGUGGCCACAUGAUUGAUGUUUUCUCAGGAAUAAAGCAUUACAUUGAAGAAUCUUACAUAAUUCAGAAGGUUUGACAUACUAUGGAGAAAGAAAGGAACAUGGAACUUGGAAAUUAGCUGAACUCUAACUGUGAAGACACAGCUGAAGCUCUGGGAAAUAUUUUCUUGCUUGAAGUGGAUCUAUCCUUGCUUCCAGAGGGCAGCAGAGGAGGGGAAAUCAGCUUGGACACAUUUUUCAGGGCAUCUUGGUUUGUUGAAAAAGAGGUGCUGGCUUGGUAUGAACUAUUCUGCAGAGACAAUGGCUGAGAAUGAACAAAGUGAAAACCGGUCUGGAACACACAGGUAAGGGGUUGUGCAGAGUAGGGGGUAGGGGUCACAGCCCUGGCCAAUUUACCUAGGUUCAGAAGGUGUGAGGGGUUGGUGGUGUUUCACCAUAAGUAAUUUCACAGAAGAAUGGCUUUUGGAUGUUGAUGUAUUUUGUAGUUGGUAGAGAAGUCGGAGAGAGGGCACCCCAUCUGUCUGAAAGGAUCUGCAAAUCUCAAUAGACGUGACAGCUGAGUGCUCUUAAGAAGGUACCUGGCUUUCACAGGGCUCACUUUGAGCCUGCACGCAGGACUGAUUAAGACAAUAAAAAGAAUUGUUCUAAGGAUGGGGUAUUGGAAGAAUGAUGCACCUUGUAAUCUUGGGAAGAGGGUGGAUCUGGAGUCCACUGUGGAGUUACUUCACGAGAGUGGUGGUGGACCUGCAGCGUCUGGCUGAUGAGAUACCGGCCUUUUUUUAUGAAGUAUGGGCGUGGUUUCUGUGACUUUGUUCUAAGGGCUGGAAUUUCCAAGGAGCAGGAUUGUUAAGAUGUAGGUUCCUGUAAGAGUUGAUGCCUGGGGAGUGGACAAGUCCCCUUUUGUUGCUGGGAAGUAUGUCUCUAGCGGCUGGAGUGGGUAUUACAGGCAUCUGGUAAGUGAUGGGGUGGUUACAGGGGACAGCAGGCUGUUGUCACUCAUGAUCUUAAUGGAUGCAUUCCUUAUGGAGAGAUGUUAGAUUUUAUGGAUAGGUAUCCUCAUAAAGUGUGAUUGUUGAGUUUAAUAGUAGAUAUAUUUUUAUUACUUCUAUCAACCUCCUUGUAGUUGGUAUUCCAAUGAGCGGUGUGUUACAAUAUUGCCUGCGUUUUAUGUAUUUGCAUACUGAAAAUGUUGAUGACUCCCCUACAAAUUGUACGCUGGAACAUCCAAUUAAUUAUUAAUACAGUUUUAUUUUUGACAAUGAAAUAAGUGUCCUCCUGUGAUUCUUAGCUUAAGCCAGGGGGAGGGAGCCCUGUUUGGUACCAGUAGUGAGUAAUGAUAUGGGAAACUUUCAGCUGUUAAUGUUUGUCAGCCUUGCUCCUGGGCUCCCCCGAGAAGCUACAAUUUAACAUUUACCAAGGUCAGAAUGACCUGGCAGAACUUCAGAGCAUGGACUCUAUUUCUUCCCUGAGCACACAUUGUAUCUCUGCUUCAUUAAACAAACAUACAAAAGGGGCGCCUGGGUGGUGCAGUCGGUUAAGCGUCCGACUUCAGCCAGGUCACAAUCUCGUGGUCCGUGGGUUCGUGCCCCGCGU